rnacentral:ncRNA from 2 species
CGGCAAAGAACCUUUUCAGGUGCUGAAAAGCCUAAAAGGGAAGAGGGUGAGAAUCCCUCACGGACCCGCCGCUGUGAUCGGGUUGUGUCAUCGCAAAGUGGUCCUGUUCGUAAAUAUGGUGAAGC